rnacentral:rRNA from 1 species
AGCGCAGGCGGUUUUUUAAGUCUGAUGUGAAAGCCUUCGGCUCAACCGAAGAAGUGCAUCGGAAACUGGGAAACUUGAGUGCAGAAGAGGACAGUGGAACUCCAUGUGUAGCGGUGAAAUGCGUAGAUAUAUGGAAGAACACCAGUGGCGAAGGCGGCUGUCUGGUCUGUAACUGACGCUGAGGCUCAAAGUAUAGUAGCAAACA